UUUUAAUUGAAGGCUUGUAUGAAAGGCUGGACAAAGAAUAAUCUGUUUCUAUUUUUAUAUUUGAACUUAACUUUUAAGUGAAAAGGCUUAAAUAAUUUUAAGGGACGAUAAGACCCUAUAAAUCUUUAUAUUAAAUUAAUUUUAGUUAAUUAAUAUUGUAGAGUUAAUUAAUAAUAUAAUAAAUAUUAUAUUGGGGUGAUAAGAAUAUAAUAAAAUAACUGUUCUAAUAUUUAAACAAUCCUAUUUGAGUUUAUAAUAGAUCCUUUUUAAAGAUUAAAAGUUUAAGUUACUUUAGGGAUAACAGCGUUAUUCUUUUUGAGAGCCCGUAUCGAAAAAAGAGUUUGCGACCUCGAUGUUGAAUUAAAAUUUCUUUGUGGUGUAGUAGUUAUAAAAGAGAGUCUGUUCGACUUUUAAAUUUUUACGUGAUCU
rnacentral:rRNA from 1 species